CUAGACUGUAAGCUCUUUGAAGGUGAGGAUUAUCUGUUAAAUUGUUUCUUAUCUUCCAGCACCCAGUUCAGCCAGUACUGUGUUCAUGGUUGAGAGAAACCACAAGCCUUGAGGAUGACAUGGGACAAGUCAUCAACCACUCUCUAAAUAUCCAUUUUUCCGAGCCUGGUAACACAUCAGACCUGUUUUUACUGUUUCUCUAUACCAAGGGUGUCACACUUCCUGUGCAUGGAUUGAAGUGAGAGAAGAGGAGGAAGUAGAUGAUUUGGGUGUCUUUUCCUAGGAAAAAAAAAAAAGAGUUUAUGGAUGUGAUUCAUAAGCGCUUCAUAUGAGAUACUGGUCGCUUCACUUUUCAUCUUACUUCAAGCAGUCUUUAUGAAAUUCAGUUAUUCAAGCACUCAGGAUUUAGGAAGACUGGCUGACAUUUAGCCAACAAGAGAUACAGAAUAGUUAUGAGGCAAAGAUACACCCAGGACUUCAGCACAGAGGCAACAAAGAAAGGACCAGGUGAGGAUGCAGCUAGAAAUCAGCCAUCUGCAAGGCAAGGAGAG
ensembl:lncRNA